rnacentral:rRNA from 1 species
GACGAACGCUGGCGGCGUGCCUAACACAUGCAAGUCGAACGGAGAUUAUUUCGGUAAUCUUGGUGCACAACGGGCGGGGAAUUCCUGAGCAACGUGUAACCCAGAUGGAAACAACAUGGUGACGGGGGUGCACUUACGGAAAGUGAAACCAAUCUCGCAUAAGGAUGAUGUGUAAGAGGGCCUCUAUUUAUAAGCUAUCUUUAGUGGAUGCGACUGCGUCUGAUUAGCUAGUUGGUGGGGUAACGGCCUACCGAGGCGAUGAUCAGUAGCCGGUCUGAGAGGAUGAACGGCCACACUGGGACUGAGACACGGCCCAGACUCCUACGGGAGGCAGCAGUAGGGAAUCUUCCGCAAUGGGCGAAAGUCUGACGGAGCAACGCCGCGUGAGUGAUGAAGGAUUUCGUUCCGUAAAGCUCUGUUGUUUAUGACGAAUGUGCAGAAGGUGGACAAGGACACGUAAUGACGGUAGUAAACGAAUAAGCCACGGCUAACUACGUG